UACGUAGGGUGCGAGCGUUAAUCGGAAUUACUGGGCGUAAAGCGUGCGCAGGCGGUUCGCUGUGUCCGAUGGGAAAGCCCCGGGCUUAACCUGGGAAUGGCAUUGGAAACUGGCGGGCUUGAGUGCGGCAGAGGGGGGUGGAAUUCCGCGUGUAGCAGUGAAAUGCGUAGAGAUGCGGAGGAACACCGAUGGCGAAGGCAGCCCCCUGGGUCGACACUGACGCUCAGGCACGAAAGCGUGGGGAGCAAACAGG
rnacentral:rRNA from 1 species